AGCAGCCGCGGUAAUUCCAGCUCCAAUAGCGUAUAUUAAAGUUGUUGCAGUUAAAAAGCUCGUAGUUGAAUUUCGGGAUUAGUACGCUGGUCAUGCCUUUGGUAUGUACUGGUGUUACUGGUUCCUACCUUCUGAAGAACCGUCAUGUCAUUAAUUUGGUGUGGCGGGGAAUCAGGACUGUUACUUUGAAAAAAUUAGAGUGUUUAAAGCAGGCUCGCGCUUGAAUACAUUAGCAUGGAAUAAUGAAAUAGGACGUUUGACCCUAUUUUGUUGGUUUCUAGGAUCGACGUAAUGAUUAAUAGGGAUAGUUGGGGGCAUUAGUAUUCAAUUGUCAGAGGUGAAAUUCUUGGAUUUAUUGAAGACUAACUACUGCGAAAGCAUUUGCCAAGGAUGUUUUCAUUAAUCAAGAACGAAAGUUAGGGGAUCGAAGACGAUCAGAUACCGUCGUAGUCUUAACCCAUAAACCUAUGCCGACUAGGGAUCGGAUGAUGUUAUUUUAAUGACUCAUUCGGCGCCUUAC
rnacentral:rRNA from 1 species